UGCAGCCGAGCGGUAGAGAUCUUUCGGGAUCUUGAGAGCGGCGUACGGGUGCGGAACACGUGUGCAACCUGCCUUUAUCUGGGGGAUAGCCUUUCGAAAGGAAGAUUAAUACCCCAUAAUAUAUUGAAUGGCAUCAUUUAAUAUUGAAAACUCCGGUGGAUAGAGAUGGGCACGCGCAAGAUUAGAUAGUUGGUGAGGUAACGGCUCACCAAGUCAAUGAUCUUUAGGGGGCCUGAGAGGGUGAUCCCCCACACUGGUACUGAGACACGGACCAGACUCCUACGGGAGGCAGCAGUGAGGAAUAUUGGACAAUGGGUGAGAGCCUGAUCCAGCCAUCCCGCGUGAAGGACGACGGCCCUAUGGGUUGUAAACUUCUUUUGUAUAGGGAUAAACCUUUCCACGUGUGGAAAGCUGAAGGUACUAUACGAAUAAGCACCGGCUAACUCCGUGCCAGCAGCCGCGGUAAUACGGAGGGUGCAAGCGUUAUCCGGAUUUAUUGGGUUUAAAGGGUCCGUAGGCGGGCUCGUAAGUCAGUGGUGAAAUCUCAUAGCUUAACUAUGAAACUGCCAUUGAUACUGCGAGCCUUGAGUAAGGUANAGGUAGCUGGAAUAAGUAGUGUAGCGGUGAAAUGCAUAGAUAUUACUUAGAACACCAAUUGCGAAGGCAGGUUACCAUGUCUUAACUGACGCUGAUGGACGAAAAGCGUGGGGAGCGAACAGGAUUA
rnacentral:rRNA from 1 species